AGAUACUCUAGAAGAAUAAAAUAUUUAUACGUGUGCUGUCCUCCUUUUCUCUCUGCACAACAGAGAGAAUAAGUGAAGCUGCUUUGAAUCUGAAAUAAGUUAUUGAUCCAUGAGAGGACCUUCCCCCUUAUCUCAUGACUACUUUGCUUACGAGCCUGUGAUGUGAGACCUUGUUAAUGGCUUUCUGAAAGUCCAAGUACACUCUACCAACUGGAUCACACUGGUGCAAGGAUCUGCAAUAGUAUCCUGAUGCAGAAAUCAAGACCGUCAUCAGGACUUGAUAACUUUCACCCAAGAGUUUUAAAAUAAUUGGCCAAGGAGCUUUCUGAAUAGUAAGAUG